rnacentral:rRNA from 1 species
AGUGGCGGACGGGUGAGUAACGCGUGGGUAACCUGCCUCACACUGGGGGACAACAGUUAGAAAUGACUGCUAAUACCGCAUAAGCGCACAGGACCGCAUGGUCCGGUGUGAAAAACUCCGGUGGUGUGAGAUGGACCCGCGUUUGAUUAGCUAGUUGGUGGGGUAACGGCCUACCAAGGCGACAAUCAAUAGCCGACCUGAGAGGGUGACCGGCCACAUUGGGACUGAGACACGGCCCAA